GAAUGAUCCUGUCACUUUACUGCCACACAUUGUGUGUGUCAGUAAAGUGAUGAGGUAGGAGAAUCCGUGUAUGGAUUGUUUUUUGGUUUUUCAGAUUUGGUUUUGAAACUGAAAAAGGGCAAAAGGAAUAAACAAAUAAACGGCAUUUGAUUUUG